rnacentral:lncRNA from 1 species
GGGUGAGUGUGUGCCUCUGUCGGCCCUGCCCAUGUGGGUGGACUCUUAAAGGCAACAUCCUAUGCCUGAAAGGAAGCUACUGCUGUAGUCUGGGAAGAAGCGAGAGGGCCUGAAAGAGCCAGAGUUGAAGAGGAAAAGACAGAGAGAGCCCCAGUGGCUUUAGUCUCCAGGAGUUUCCUGUAGGAGCCUCCUUUUCCUUCACCGUUCCACUGAUGCUAUUCUGGCAAAAAUCCGGCAGAGAUCUUCAAAUUGGCCAUGCCCAAUGGAUAUAUUUCUGUCUUCCUCCACUUGACCUUGGCGUUUGACACGAGGAACUCCGAAUAGUUCGUCCGGGUGUACUAAGUCCUUUGGUAUCGGAGGAGAGAGAGUAUCACCGUGAUCGAGAGUCAACACGCCCUGGAUUCCAAUCCUGGCACCUGUCCUCUGUCAACCUCAGUUCCCUCAAAUGUAAAAUAGGGACCAACAGUACCUGUGUAAGUAAUCCAUAAGAAGAACUUGUAAGAGGACCUGACCCAUAGGAAGAGAUCAAUAAUAGUUCUUUACCAUUAUUAAUUGCCUGACUUCCAAGCUUGUCAUGAGUGUGAAGUGAGGUGAUACUUGUGGAAGAGCUCUGCCCCCCAUACGUUGUCUUAUUAUGCCAUCUAGUUCCUCAUUUGUGACACAGAAUCAGUGGCUCUGGGCUGGGUAGGGAGUGGGGACACAGGAAGGAUCAGCACAGUGCCAGCAUUGGCAGAUCUGUCAAUCAGGAGGAGAGGCCCCCAGUGGAGAAGGACACGUGGGGGGGCGCCUGGGUGAGGAGCAGAAUGUGAGUCUUUGCUGUGUCCAGCGAUGAGCUCUCACAAGUUGGGCGAAGCACCGAUUGACCCAUCAAAUUUUGACCUUGGCUGCGAGCCUGAGCAGCCUCCUGUCCAAGGACUCAUCACUCUGUCCUGUGAGCCUCCUGGGGAGCAUAACUAAAGGGUCUAGAGUGUUCUCAGGACACGCUGCCUGACCAACUAACUGGUGGAGCGUGUGGAGCCCUUAUUGUAUGCAGACGGCACUCCUCACAGCAGCUGGACUGGCCAGAAAAGGUGCAGGCUGGCGGGCUGGCGUGGGUCCUCUGUGAGGCCUCAUGUGCCGCCCCAGGCCUCCCACCAGACCCUCCAGGAGAGAGCCGGCUGUGGAGGGAGGACCGGAGGUCCCCUUGGAGGGCCCAGCUUGGAGGACCGUGAGCUUUUCCAGCUUCCCUCCUCCCCUCGCCCCACUCGCCAUCCAGCCCCGUUUAAGCCCACUGCUGACAGACGGACUUCCGCUCCUGCCGAAUAUCGCCCUGCCCAGCCAAGAAUAUUCUAUGCACGCCUUGUUGCUGGAAUGGUUGCCAUCUGAUGGGGAGAGUCUUUCCAAGCUGGGUCUGGGGAUGAGAUUCAUUCAUAAGAAAAAAAGUAAGAAAAAUAAAGAAGAACCAGUUUCAAUACUAUGCAUUGAGUGCUGGCCCUACAGCCUGGUGGUUAGGAAGGCAGACUGUGCCGCCUACUACUCCUGUGACCUUGAACAAUGAUUUACCCCACUCUGCCUCAGGUUUCUCAUCUGUAAAUCAAGGGCAGUAUUGGUACCUACCUCAUAGAGUUGCUGGGAGGAGUAGUGAGUGUGUCAUAGUAAGAAAUAUAUGUUUGGUCUUUGUUCCGGUUCCUGACACAGAGCUCCCAAAUGCCUUGGAAUUUCCCAGGUGAUAGGAGCAUCUUUUGUUCUAAUGACAUGACUCUUGGUGGGCCUCUAGAUAGUGUCUGGAUGGGGGCUGGUCACCAGAAAGACCAAGCCUUGAUUAGAAGCCUGGAACUUUCAGCCCCACACUCUGACCUCAAGGAGGGGAAAGGGGCUGGAGAUUGAGUGGAUCGCCAAUGGCCAGUGAUUCGAUUGGUUACACCUGCAUGAUGAAACUGCCAUAAAAAUCCUUAGACUAUGGGGUUUGGAGAUCUUCUGAGUUGGUGAACACAUCCAGUUGCUGGGAGGGUGGCACACCCAGAGAGGGCAUGGGGGCUCUGUGUCCAUUCCCCGACACCCUGCCCAGUGCAUCUCCUCCAUUUGGUUGGUCCUGAGUUGCAUCCUUUAUAAUAAACUGGUAAUAUAAGUAAAGUGCUUUUCUGAGAUCUGUAAGUUGUUCUAGCGAAUUCUCAAUCCUGAGGACGGGGUUGUGGGAACCCCUUGAAUUUAUGGCCGGUCAGUCAGGAGUACUGGUGACAACCUGGGACUCGCAACUGGCAUCUGAAAUGGGGACAACUUUGGGGACUGAUCCCUUACCCUGUGAGACUUGAUGCUAUUAGGUAGCUAGUGUAGGACACCCAGGUGGUGUCCAGAGAAUUGGAGAACUGGUUGUUAGUGUGGAAAAUACACAGUAAUGUUGUGAGUAAAAAUGGCCCAGAGGGGGUUAAUGUGACAGACGGGAUAAUGGACCCAUGUAAUGCCCACUUCCCAAUCCCUGAAACCUGUGAGUAUGUCACCUAACAUGGCAAGAGACUUUGCAGAUGUGACUAAGUUAAGGAUGUUGGGAUGAGAAAAUUACCCUGGCUUAUCCCAGUGGGUCCAAUGAAAUUACAAGUGUCCUUACGUAUAAGAGGGAGGCAGGAGAGCCAGAAGAUGGAGAAAGGAGCCACAGCCAAGGAAGGCAGGCAGCUUCUAGAAGCCAGAAAAGGCAAGGAAGAGAUUCACUCCUAGAGCCUCGAGCAGGAACAUAGCCCUCCUGAUGCCUUGAUUUUAGUCCAGUGAGACCCAUUUUGAACUUUUGACCACCAGAACUGCAGGGUAAUAAAUCUGCGUUGCUUUAAGCCGCUAAGUUUGUAGUAAUUUAUUACAGCGGGAGUAGGAAGCUGGUACAGUUAACACAGGUAGAGGGCUCAGAGCAGAGCCUGGCAGGUGGGAAGAGCUCCUGAGAGUUGCUUAUUAUUGUUGCGAUUUCUCUCCAACAGCUUCUAGGUUAGAGUUGGGGGAGGUGGCAGUGAAAAAAACACCACCUGCACAAGGUUCCUGACAUCGUGGAGUUUACCUUCACAUGGAGGGGACAGAUUACAAAGAAAGAAGUAAACACAUGUUAACGAAGAGAAAGCCAGCAAAGGGGACUGUUACUGACUGGCUCCUGGGGCUGGGGUCUGUUGCAGAUGGUGAGGGCAGGACAGGCCUUCUGCAGAGGAGGCCACAUUGUGGCAGAAGCCUGAGUGCAGGAGGGAGGGCCAGUGGAGCUCCCCAGGCUGAUGGAGCAGCCAGCCGGAAGGUCCAGAUCAGGGAGAGCAAGAGGUCAUGUGGGGGGCGGGAGCAGGUGGGCAGUGUGGGGCUGGGAGGUGAGGGUAGUGCGGGGGGCCUCCUGGUCAUGUAAGAAAUUGGGAUUUCAUUCUGAGUGGGAUGGGGAGCCAGGGGAGGGUUUGAAUCCUGGGCAUAGACAUACACACGGCUCAUCAAGCUGUGCUGUGGCUGCGUCCUACACACAAAAUAGAGGAAGAUGGGCACAGUUGUUAGCUCAGCAGCAAUCUACCUCCCCACAAAAACAGGAAGAUUGGCAACAGAUGUUAGCUCAGGGGCCAAUCUUCCUCACCAAAAAAAAGAAGAAGAAGAAGAAGAAGAAGAAGAAGAAGAAGAAAGAUCACUCCAGUUCAGAGCUUCUCAGUUGGGGGUGAUUGGCAUUUUGGGGAGGAUAAUCCUUAGCUGUGAAAGACCAUCCUGGCAUUUAGGAUACUGGUCCCCCAGGCACUAAAGGAAACAGCAUUUUUGUGUCAACUCCAACUGCUCCCGCAUACUUCCAAACCUGCGGGGGAGGGUGGGCAGGUGGAACCACCCUGGUGGGGAGGCGCUGAGGGGCACACGUGGAAGCAGAAAGACCAGUUAGGAGGACAGUGGCACGGCUGAGGCAGUGAAGGGGAGAAAGGAAGAAUUUAGGGGAUUUAAUGAUGAACUAGGUAUUAGAGAAAGAUGAGAACAAGGAGGAACCCGGGUUUAUGAAAAUUAGUGCAUCCCCAGGUUUGUUUGUUUGAUGAGGAGAAAGGGGUAAAAUCACAUUUUAAUUGUGAGAUGCUUAGAGGGGAUGUUCAGGUGGGAAUAUGAAUCUGGAGUUCAGAGAGAGGUCAGGAGGCAGAGAGAAAUUCAGGGGUCCUCCUGGGCCGUCAUGGUGGUUAAAUCACGAGGCUGGCUGAGAUCUCCUGGGGAGAUGCGGUAAGUAGAAUGAGUUCCAAAGGAAGAGCCUUGGGCCCUGGACACUCAGAGAUCAGGACGCAGAGAGGAUCCAGCAAAGGGGAUGGGGAAGGAGCAGCCAGCGCAGGAGGAGGAGGACCAGCAGAAUGGGGGUUCU